GAUAUACCUCGGCCUAGUCCCGUCAUCGGGAACGGAGGACCCAAUUUUUUGGGGCUAAUUCUACAGGUUUGUAGAAGGGAUGAGAGCAGCUCUUUCGCCAUCCUGCCCGUCAGCUAACUUCGUCGGCUAAAGCGAAGGAGGUC
rfam:Domibacillus antri strain XD80 WGS_contig_22, whole genome shotgun sequence.